rnacentral:rRNA from 1 species
GCAGUAGCCGCGGGAAUACAGAGGGUGCGAGCGUUAAUCGGAUUUACUGGGCGUAAAGCGUGCGUAGGCGGCUUCUUAAGUCGGAUGUGAAAUCCCUGAGCUUAACUUAGGAAUUGCAUUCGAUACUGGGAAGCUAGAGUAUGGGAGAGGAUGGUAGAAUUCCAGGUGUAGCGGUGAAAUGCGUAGAGAUCUGGAGGAAUACCGAUGGCGAAGGCAGCCAUCUGGCCUAAUACUGACGCUGAGGUACGAAAGCAAGGGGAGCAAACAGGAUUAGAUACCCCAGUAGUCCCUGUCUCUUAUAC